AUAAGACACAAAAUUAGAAUACAAGUGAGAUUGACGGAAGAAAGAGAGCACAUGCUGCCAGACAGUCAUUGCUAUGUAUCUACAUGUUCUUGCAGUGCGUGCUCUCUUUUUUUCUGUCAAUCUCCAGUUUAUCCUUCAUUUUUUGUCUUUGUUUUCUCAUUCUUAGUUUCCCUUUUAAUCGAUUGGAAAAGGGAUGGAAUAAUCUAUAUAGUUCUUCUUUUUCAGGAUCUAACGAUGCCAUGCCUGCCUAAUAGCCCUGUUUCCUCUUAAUUAGUUCUGUAAUCUGUUAUCUUGAGUAUAUUAACUUUCACUUUAAGGAUGACAGCAGUGAUUAUGAUCUAUCUGCACAUCAGGUAAAUGGGACUCAUUUUAGGGUUUCAUUACUAGCUUAAUUCUAUGAA